rnacentral:rRNA from 1 species
GUGCCAGCAGCCGCGGUAAUACGUAGGUGGCAAGCGUUGUCCGGAUUUAUUGGGCGUAAAGCGAGCGCAGGCGGUUUCUUAAGUCUGAUGUGAAAGCCCCCGGCUCAACCGGGGAGGGUCAUUGGAAACUGGGAGACUUGAGUGCAGAAGAGGAGAGUGGAAUUCCAUGUGUAGCGGUGAAAUGCGUAGAUAUAUGGAGGAACACCAGUGGCGAAGGCGGCUCUCUGGUCUGUAACUGACGCUGAGGCUCGAAAGCGUGGGGAGCGAACAGGAUUAGAUACCCUGGUAGUCCACGCCGUAAACGAUGAGUGCUAAGUGUUGGAGGGUUUCCGCCCUUCAGUGCUGCAGCAAACGCAUUAAGCACUCCGCCUGGGGAGUACGACCGCAAGGUUGAAACUCAAAGGAAUUGACGGGGGCCCGCACAAGCGGUGGAGCAUGUGGUUUAAUUCGAAGCAACGCGAAGAACCUUACCAGGUCUUGACAUCCUUUGACCACUCUAGAGAUAGAGCUUCCCCUUCGGGGGCAAAGUGACAGGUGGUGCAUGGUUGUCGUCAGCUCGUGUCGUGAGAUGUUGGGUUAAGUCCCGCAACGAGCGCAACCCUUAUUGUUAGUUGCCAUCAUUUAGUUGGGCACUCUAGCGAGACUGCCGGUGACAAACCGGAGGAAGGUGGGGAUGACGUCAAAUCAUCAUGCCCCUUAUGACCUG